rnacentral:lncRNA from 1 species
CAUUCGAGCCCCUACUGUAAACACGUUUCUUCCAAACUUUCAUUAUAGGUAGACUUCAACCGAGCUUCUUCGUAGCUGGAUCCCAGACGAGCUUUUACAGUGGGACAGGACCCACCGACCAGAUCGCUACUCCGAGCUCCCACAACAAUCGAUCUUCGAUCGAGCUUCUACAAUAAGCGGUCUCCUUUUGGCCUUCUACAAGAACCAGACCUCGACCGAACUUUCAUAGCGGAUGG